AACGAACGCUGGCGGCGUGCUUAACACAUGCAAGUCGAACGCACCGCAAGGUGAGUGGCGCACGGGUGAGUAACGCGUGGGAAUCUACCUUUUGGUUCGGAAUAACACAGGGAAACUGGUGCUAAAACCGGAUACGCCCUUCGGGGGAAAAAUUUAUUGCCAAAAGAUGAGCCCGCGUUGGAUUAGCUAGUUGGUGAGGUAAUGGCUCACCAAGGCGACGAUCCAUAGCUGGUCUGAGAGGAUGAUCAGCCACACUGGGACUGAGACACGGCCCAGACUCCUACGGGAGGCAGCAGUGGGGAAUAUUGGACAAUGGGGGAAACCCUGAUCCAGCAACGCCGCGUGAGUGAUGAAGGUCUUCGGAUUGUAAAGCUCUUUUGGCAGGGACGAUGAUGACGGUACCUGCAGAAUAAGCUCCGGCUAACUUCGUGCCAGCCGCCGCCGUAAAAC
rnacentral:rRNA from 1 species